rnacentral:rRNA from 1 species
UAACGCGUGAGAAUCUGCUCUAGGUCGGGACAACCAUGGAAACGGUGGCUAAUACCGGAUGCGGAGUAAAGUUUGCCUAGAGAUGAGCUCGCGUCUGAUUAGCUAGUUGGUGUAAGAGACCAAGGCGACGAUCAGUAGCUGGUCUGAGAGGAUGAUCAGCCACACUGGGACUGAGACACGGCCCAGACUCCUACGGGAGGCAGCAGUGGGGAAUUUUCCGCAAUGGGCGAAAGCCUGACGGAGCAAUACCGCGUGAGGGAGGAAGGCUCUUGGGUUGUAAACCUCUUUUCUCAGGAAUAAGAAAGUGAAGGUACUUGAGGAAUAAGCAUCGGCUAACUCCGUGCCAGCAGCCGCGGUAAUACGGAGGAUGCAAGCGUUAUCCGGAAUGAUUGGGCGUAAAGGUCCGCAGGUGGCAUUGGUCUGCUGUUAAAGAGUGAGGCUUAACCUCAUAAAAGCAGUGGAAACUACAAAGCUAGAGUGCGUUCGGGGAGAGGAAUUCCUGGUGUAGCGGUGAAAUGCGUAGAGAUCAGGAAGAACACCGUGGCGAA